rnacentral:rRNA from 1 species
CAAUAGCGUAUAUUAAAGUUGUUGCGGUUAAAAAGCUCGUAGUUGGAGUUCUGCCAGGUGCCGUCUGUCCGCCCCAGUGGUGAGUACGUGACGCGCAUUUGGCCCUUUCAAGGGGAGCGUAUCUGCACUUUACUGUGUGGUGCGGGAUCCUUGACUUUUACUUUGAGGAAAUAGGAGUGUUCCAAGCAGGCUCUCGUCGUGCACAGCUCAGCAUGGAAUAAUAGCAUUGGACCUCGAUUCUAAGCUGUUGGUUGCCAGAAGCGAGGUAAUGAUGAAGAGGGAUAGUUGGGGGCAUUCGUAUUUAACUGUCAGAGGUGUAAUUCUUGGAUUUGUUAAAGACGGACUACUGCGAAAGCAUCUGCCAUGGAUGUUUUCAUUGA